UACGGAGGGUGCUAACGUUAUCCGGAAUCACUGGGCGUAAAGGGUGCGUAGGCGGGUCUUUAAGUCAGGGGUGAAAUCCUGGAGCUCAACUCCAGAACUGCCUUUGAUACUGAGGAUCUUGAGUUCGGGAGAGGUGAGUGGAACUGCGAGUGUAGAGGUGAGAUUCGUAGAUAUUCGCAAGAACACCAGUGGCGAAGGCGGCUCACUGGCCCGAUACUGACGCUGAGGCACGAAAGCGUGGGGAGCAAACAGG
rnacentral:rRNA from 1 species